AUUGAACGCUGGCGGCAGGCCUAACACAUGCAAGUCGAGCGGAUGAAGGGAGCUUGCUCCUGGAUUCAGCGGCGGACGGGUGAGUAAUGCCUAGGAAUCUGCCUGGUCGUGGGGGAUAACGUCCGGAAACGGGCGCUAAUACCGCAUACGUCCUGCGGGAGAAAGUGGGGGAUCUUCGGACCUCACGCUCUCAGAUGAGCCUAGGUCGGAUUAGCUAGUUGGUGGGGUAAAGGCCUACCAAGGCGACGAUCCGUAACUGGUCUGAGAGGAUGAUCAGUCACACUGGAACGGAGACAGGGUCAAGAGUCCUACGGGAGGGAGCAGUGGCGAAUAGUGGACAGUGGGGGAAAGCCUGAUCCAGCCAUGCCGCGUGUGUGAAGAAGGUGUUCGGAGUGGAAAGCACGUUAAGUGGGGAGGAAGGGCAGUAAGUUAAGACCAAGCUGUUUUGACGUUACCAGCAGAAUAAGCACCGGCUAACUACGUG
rnacentral:rRNA from 1 species